rnacentral:rRNA from 1 species
CCUACGGGAGGCAGCAGUAGGGAAUCUUCGGCAAUGGGGGCAACCCUGACCGAGCAACGCCGCGUGAGUGAAGAAGGUUUUCGGAUCGUAAAGCUCUGUUGUAAGUCAAGAACGGGUGUGAGAGUGGAAAGUUCACACUGUGACGGUAGCUUACCAGAAAGGGACGGCUAACUACGUGCCAGCAGCCGCGGUAAUACGUAGGUCCCGAGCGUUGUCCGGAUUUAUUGGGCGUAAAGCGAGCGCAGGCGGUUUGAUAAGUCUGAAGUUAAAGGCUGUGGCUCAACCAUAGUUCGCUUUGGAAACUGUCAAACUUGAGUGCAGAAGGGGAGAGUGGAAUUCCAUGUGUAGCGGUGAAAUGCGUAGAUAUAUGGAGGAACACCGGUGGCGAAAGCGGCUCUCUGGUCUGUAACUGACGCUGAGGCUCGAAAGCGUGGGGAGC